GUAGAUUUCCUGGAGGGGCCGCCCCUCCUCUGGGGCUGUGGGCUGUGCUCCGGGGCCUGCCUUUAGCUCCUCUAAGGCGCAGAUGAGUAAUGCGGCCCCCUGGGCGCCCUGACGGGUGUCCCUGACGCAUCCCUGCCCCGUUCCCGGGAACGGAGAACUGUCGCUACAAAUCACUCAGGGCAGCAUAACUAAUGAGGGAAAAAAGCUAAAGACAAAAAUAUACUUCUUUCUCCACCUUAUGAAAGUGAAGUGGUUCUUAAUAGAUAAGGCCCUUUUUAGCUGCUUGCUGAUACCCUUGGAGGAAGAAGGAGGUCCAGCAAGACUAUGAAUCUCUGUUCCAAAUGCUUUGCUGAAAAAAGAAAUCCACACAAUGAAAAAGACAUCAUAGGCUGUUGGCUGAAUCUGGCACUGAAGAUUUAGGAAAUGACGAGACAGGUUAUAGUGCUGUAAUAAUUAAUCCAAUCUGUGUGUAUUCAUUGUAACUGUCUUUCAAUGAUGAUAGAAGGAUCAGAGUACAGGAAAGCACAAGAUUACUGGUGUAAUCUCCUGGUUUAAAUCACAA